rnacentral:rRNA from 1 species
AUUGAACGCUGGCGGCAGGCCUAACACAUGCAAGUCGAACGAGUGGCGGACGGGUGAGUAAUAUCUGGGAAACUGCCCGCUGGAGGGGGAUAAAUACUGGAAACGGUAGCUAAUACCGCAUACCAUCUGAUGUGCCCCGAUGGGCUUAGCUAGUUGGUGGGGUAACGGCUCACAAAGGCGACGAUCACCCGCUGGUCUGAGAGGAUGACCAGCCACACUGGAACUGAGAAACGGUCCAGACUCCUACGGGAGGCAGCAGUGGGGAAUAUUGCACAAGGGGCGAAAGCCUGAUGCAGCCAUGCCGCGUGUAUGAAGAAGGCCUGCGGGUUGUAAAGUACGUUCAGCGAGGAGGCGUUACUCGCAGAAGAAGCACCGGCUAACUCCGUGCCAGCAGCCGCGGUAAUAC